UUGGGUGUUGUUGCUAGAAACCACAAGGGUGAGGUACUUUUUUCAGUUUGGGAAGAGUGCGUGCUUGGUGGCCAGUUGAGAUUGCAGAGGCGAAAGUAAUGCACAUGGCGGUAAGGCUUGCAGGCAAGUAUGGCCUUAAGGAGGUGAUGCUUGAGUCGUAUUGCGAAACUCUAAUGAAACGUCUUUCGAAGGCAGCGAUUUACUUCUCUGAUUUAGAUGGAGUAAUUGAGGAUAUCUUGUUUCUGAGUAGUAAAUUCAAUUCCUUUGCUUGGUCUCAUGUAAAAAGGGGAGGGAAUUGGGUAGCUCAUCAUCUAGCUAGGAUGAUACCUUUUGGGGCAGAACAAGUACGAAUUAACCCUUGUCCAUCGAAAAUUACUCCCUAUAUACUCUCGGACGUUUUGUCCUUUGAUUAAUAGAUUUUGCUCGCUGCGUUUCCCUCGUCAGAAUAAAAAUAAAAAAUAAAAAAUAAAAAAAUAAAAAAAAUAUAAAAAGUCAAAAUGAUUCGCUCACAAAUUUUCUUUUUUAAAAAAUCCCUAACAACUAGAAACAUACAAACUAUGUUGUUUCUCAGAGAGUAAAAUAAUGGGAUCGCAUACAUAUUAAGAAUUGCCAACUACAAAUACAUUUCAAGCUUGAUGAAACACAACACAAUCAAAAGCGAGAAGCCGCGAACGAAUUAGCAAUCCACAAUAUGUUCUUCCUAAUCAAUUCGUAUUUAGAUGAUUGGGGAUUUUAGGCCUCUUUCUUUCUCGACGAGCAGAAAGCAAUUGUUUUUGACCUAUACCUCAUAUGUUCUUGCUUCUUUGGACAUGAAAACUUUGGAGACUACGAUAGUUAAACUCUCAGGUUUCCCUAGAGUUUUAUGUGCACAUUUGUCUCAGGACAACCUUCAUAUGUUCAAGGAUGCUGAAGAUGUUCUUGCAAGCAGGCAGCAACGGAAAAAGAACAGCAAACGGCAAAGGUUGAUGAGGAGAACAGAGAGGUUCUUACAACACUAUGAUUCCAUCUUAAAAUCAGUCAUGGGCAAUGGCGCUGACCAAAAGUAGGAUCUUGAUCCUCAUGUAUAUCUACAUUCCAAUAUUAGAGAAAUCAAAAGAUGACUGGAUGAUGAAGUUUGGUGUGAAUUCUCUCUAUCAAUGGCUAUCUGGAUAAGUUACAGCCCCUUCAACAUGUAUUGCUGCUGCCCGUUUUAAUGCGACAUUUGAAUCUUCUAGUGUUCCUGCUGCCAUAAAAAAAACUCCUGAGUUUAGAUGAAUUUAUUAGCUUUUAAUUGAAUCUGUUUAGUGAUGAUCUUGUCUCUGUACUAGAUGGUGCCCAAAAAUGGAACAACGUAAUUGUAUUUCAAAUUUUCCUUUUUCCAGUCCUCGGAUUGGUUUUUGUGGGGAUGUUUUGCUGUUUCUAGUUACGAUUAGACUUCAUCUUAUUCAUUACUGUUAAUCGUCGUACUACAUGUUGAAGUUAUGAAUGGAACCCUUGUGAGAUAAUUUUAAGCUGUCUUUGUCA